rnacentral:rRNA from 1 species
GCAUCGAUGAAGAACGUAGCGAAAUGCGAUACUUGGUGUGAAUUGCAGAAUCCCGUGAACCAUCGAGUCUUUGAACGCAAGUUGCGCCCGAAGCCAUUAGGCCGAGGGCACGCCUGCCUGGGUGUCACACA